UACGUAGGGUGCAAGCGUUGUCCGGAAUUAUUGGGCGUAAAGAGCUCGUAGGCGGUCUGUCGCGUCUGCUGUGAAAACCCGGGGCUCAACCCCGGGCUUGCAGUGGAUACGGGCAGACUAGAGUUCGGUAGGGGAGACUGGAAUUCCUGGUGUAGCGGUGAAAUGCGCAGAUAUCGGGAGGAACACCUAUGGCGAAGGCAGCUCGCUGGGACGUUACUGACGCUGAGACGCGAAAGCGUGGGGAGCAAACAGG
rnacentral:rRNA from 1 species